CUCGUCCGUUUCGAAUGUACCGUGACUACUUAAAAGAAACGAUUUUUAAAACGCGUCCCCUUUCGUCUUAUUCGUUGACCCUUCGAAUAGGAAAAAAAGAAAGAAAGAAAGAAAGAGAGAAAGAAAAAAAAAAAGAAGAAAAAAAGAAAAAAGGCAGUCUUGCCUCCUGGUUUUCUGGGGAGCCGUCGGUCGGCAUCGCGUAUCGACGAAGCGCAUGUAUAACAGAGUUCCCGAUAAUAAUGGUACUUAUUAUGCCGCUACCAUUUGCGGCCGAUUCACCUGAUGAGGACCAUUCUCGUAGAGAUAACGUUCAGGCAGUGCUGGAACCAUAAUCAACCGGUCGUCCAGGGCGGCUUGGAUCUAAGUGACUCUCAAAAGGUAUACCCUUUUCUCAGGAGUCUCCUCUCUCUCUCUCUCUCUCUCUUUCUUGCACUCCCUCUUUUCACCUCUUUCUCGAUGGCUCAUUCUACUUCCACUUGGCGAUUCGGUAAGGCUCUGAAAAGUAAGAAGCACGGUCGGCAAGCUACGACGAGGCGCACGCCGUACGAUGACUAAUGGCAGACACCUACACCUACAAUGCCUCGUGGACGGCCGAUCCAUCGUCAAUGAACACGGGGAUUACACUGCUAAAUGAGAUUCCAGCGGCAAAAUCAAAGUGGCAGCAGGUGGCCAGGGCCACGGCCAUCUUCCCCGCGGGAUACGCCUUGGUGCCUGCAUCGUUCUCGCAUCUUCCGAAGACGCGCACCGUUCUUCUACCGCCAUAUUGCCGGAGAAUGGCGGCUUCACUAUUUUCUUUCACUAUAUUUUCACGUUGUAAACGUUAGAUCUCUUUCGAGGAUCUCUUCGAACUAUCUUUUACAAUAUCUAUUUAUAU